rnacentral:misc_RNA from 1 species
AUGAACUGUGACUGUGAGCGACCUGGAGAACCGCAAAUGUUUACUAAAAAUAGACAGUGCGGUUAUCCUCAGGAAUGUGGUGUAGACGAACUCGCUGAAGGUUACAUUACACUGAUAUUUUGUCACGUUUCAACAGGCUGGAAUGGGUUUGUCACGAGUACGCACAUUAGUGAGCACGAACUGGCUAAAGGAACAACUCUUCAGUAAAACUAGCAAGGGCGGACCACUCCGAGUGCUUGACACAACAUGGCAAUCCAAGGAUGAUGUUAACUUUUAUGAAGAGUACUACAAGAAAUCUCAUAUCCCAACCGCUCUGUACUUCAGUCUUGAUGAAUGUGUCCAUCCCACGAAACUGAUUCAGCGAAAUCUGCCUGAUCUGAACUGUUUCAAUCACUACAUCCAGAGGUUAGGAAUCUCUAGUGACACGCACGUGAUAGCCUAUGACCAAAUCACUGCACGAUCAUCUCUCAGAACAUGGUGGCUGUUCAGGUUGUAUGGUCAUUCGAAGAUCUCUAUGCUUGAUGGAGGUUUUAACAAGUGGCUGGAUGAUGGGUACGAAGUGUCGACAGAAGAGCCCCAAGUUGAGAAGACAGAUUAUCUUCUUAAACCAAAGUUUGAGUUAAUGCGUGACUAUGAUGCUAUGGUGCAAAAUGUGAAAAGUAAGGUCGAACAGAUUAUGGAUUCGAGAAGCUGGGAGGAAUUCUCUGGACAUAAACAGCCAGAAAAACCAGAAGAUCUGAAGACUGGGCACAUACCUGGUGCGAGAAAUAUUCCAUUUGAAGACCUUUUUAAUGAAGAUGGCACAUUCAAAUCAGACAAAGAUUUGAAAUUAUUGUUUGACAAGGCUGAGAUUGAUUUGAACAAGCCACUGGUGGCCUCCUGUAUGACUGGGUUAACAGCUUGUGGACUGGCAGCAGCCGCACACUGUCUGGGGAAGGAGAAUGUACCAGUCUACUAUGGAUCAUGGAAAGAGUGGGUACAGCGAGCAGACGACAACAUGGUUGCUGUGGUGAAAAAAGAAAGAUAAAUAAUGAAAUAUCCGAUGUUUAAUUAUACUCAAGAUAUAAUAUAUUCACAUGUUUUGUAUUUGCUUCAGUAGUAUAAAAAGACAAAGACUAAGGUUCAUAGGAACUGGGGGUUUGGAUGUCAGGACAAAAAUGUAUGUGUUUUGUGUUAAUCUUUAAAAAGAAAAACAUCUCGCUUGUGUUCCCCCUCCACUAGCGAUUGUGUCCUCACCCACCAAUUCAAAUAGUGUUCCUAUUUCAGUUAUUCCAGCCACAUUGAUAUAGAGCUCUCAAGAGGUUUUCAUUGGGACUAUAUUUUUUAAGAAUAUUAUUAACAUGAUAACUUCACCCAUUAAUGAUAUAUACACAUACUAAUAUACUUUUUUUGGUAUUUGAUUCACCCUCACCCCAUCUCCCAAAACACAAUGGUGUAUUUAGUAUUUGUGUUAACUGAUAGAAAGGAAUAAUUAUUGUCUACUAAAACAAACCUAUUUGAUUCUGAUUUGACCAGAAAUAGUCGUUAGAACUGUUGGCAUUUUUUGAAACCAUCUAACGCUAUGUAUUAGUAGAGGUGACAUGAUAUACCGAUGCAUCAAUACAUCACGAUACUACUGCUGGUGUAUUCAUUCCUAUUUUGACCAUGUAUCGAUUCCUAUAUAAAUUUUGUAUUCAUUUACCGGUAUCAAUUUGUACUGGUUAUGUACUUAUUGACAAGUUAUUUCCCCUUGCCUGCUUAUGUCAGUAUGUCUGUGAUGUGAUAUUUCUACAUGAAAACUGUGUCUAAUCAGUGUUUUACUUUUAAUCAGGUUUAUGCCUUAUAUUUAUAUCAAUUCACCUAAGCUUCAACUUCUUAUUUUACUGGGAAAACAUUGUGAAUGAGGUAUCACAAUACACAUUGUAUCAUGGGUUAAGUAUUGUGAUACGUUUUGUACUAGUAUUGCAAUAUUUGACACUAUAUUUUAGUGUACAUAUUGCAAAUUCCACCAAUUACAAACUAUUAUAAAAUGGUAAAAUUAAAACUUGUAACUACAUUUAUAUUAUAUUUAAUUUUAUUUGUCUUAGAAAUGCUUGAAAAUUACAUGCAUGUUUAACUUUCAAAAAACAUGCAUGUAAUUUUCAAGCAUUUCACUCUAGUAGAAACUUGAGUUUCAUUUAUUUAAUGUUUCCAUUGUGAGAUAGGUUACACUUACAUAAUAUAUAAUAUACAGAGAUUUUCUUGAAAAUGUUUAAUUUUAUUUUUUUCAUAAACAUGAAAUGGCAGUUGUAUUAUUUUUUGGCAGUGCAUCAAACUAUUGAGUUGAAAUUUUAUGUAUAGCUUUAUCAUGUUCUGUUAUAGAAUAGGUUUGACAUCAUGGCAAUUUACACAUUUUUCACAGUUAUGGCCCUUGACUUUUUCUUCUUUUUUUUUCUUUUGUUUUUAAGAUUUGUUUUGCUGUGCCUGAAGAUAUUGAGAUGAUUUUUUUUUAUAUAGCUUUAUCAUGUAUUGUUACAAAUCAAAUUUAAACUUUCAUGGCGAUUUACACAUUUUUUCACAGUUAUGUUUCUUGUAUUUAGGAAAUGCUAAUAUUUGUUGGGGCCCAGUAGAUGACAUGUAUUGCUUUAGCAGCACUCUCAGGACGCUUGUUUUAUUAACCUGACAGACAAUAUGGAACAAGAUAAAUGCAUCAUUACGAAGGAAGUUUGUGUCAUUAAAUGUGAUAUUAUGGGUCUGCAUAUGUGCUGACCUCACAAUGACCAUAAACACCACUAACCAUAUUGUGUGAUUUCUUAAAUUGUGGUUAGUGAUAUGUAACUGAUGGGCAAUAAUGGUGGCUGGUUGAAACUGGUUUUGGAGGGUUGCAAUUCAGGACUCUGGUGGAGCCAGUGAUAUUUAGUCAAUAGAUAAAUGUAGGUGUUCUCAAUCAUGUCACACCAAAUCUAGGUGUUCUCAAUCAUGUCGCACCAAAUCUAGGUGUUCUCAAUCAUGUCGCACCAAAUCUAGGUGUUCUCAAUCAUGUCGCACCAAAUCUAGGUGUUCUCAAUCAUGUCGCACCAAAUCUAGGUGUUCUCAAUCAUGUCGCACCAAAUCUAGGUGUUCUCAAUCAUGUCGCACCAAAUCUAGGUGUUCUCAAUCAUGUCACACCAAAUCUAGGUGUUCUCAAUCAUGUCACAUCAAAAUGUCUGGCAACAUUGCUGAUAUACUAAUACCUGCUUGAAGCAUUCCAACUGAUCUAUCGCUGUCGUUUGGAGUCAAGCAUGUCAUGGUUCAAAGGAAUAUAUUAUUUAGUAUAUACUUAAGACAUAUUUAUCUGAUAUUGCUUUAGUCACCUAGGUGGAAUCAAUUUCAUAUAACAUAAGAUCACAUUAGUUGGCCGUUUUUAUCAUCACUGCACAUUACAAAUGCAUUUUUUUAAAUAAAAUAUUUACUAGGUUUUGUCUUUAACUUAGUGGAAAAUGGAUAUAUUUGAUUUGUUUAACUAUGAUGGUAAUUACAUUACAUGUAAAAAAAAAAAAAUUAACAUGAGAUUAUGGUGUUGUAUUGUGCAAUCAAUGAAUGUCAAUAUUGAUCUUUAUUUUGAUGAAUUGACAUAAUAUUAUUGCAUGUCUAACUUAAUAAUAGUAUAUUUUAAAGUAUUUUGCUUGUUAUGAAUAUUUUUUAUUGUUAGUCGACUCUGUCCUCUUUUGGCAGUGAUAAUUAGCUUAGUCCAGUUGUUCAAAAGUAUAACUUAUUCAGUGAUUAAAAAAAAUUCUCUAAACAAAAACUUUAAUACAAUCAGCAAAGAUUUCCUAAUUUUGGAUUGCACAUUACAGCUUUACAAGGGCAUCAGAAAGAAUUUGACAUUGGGGAGGCAGAGUGUGUUAGAGGGUUGACCCCUCUAUGUGAAUGAUGUUAUUUAACUUUCAGGCAAUUCAAUGAUAAAAAUUAAUUUCUGUGUAUGUUUGAAAAAGUACAUCAUAUUAAAUGAUGUUGCUAAUAUCCUUAUGAUUGUUUAAUAUUUUUUAACAACUGUGCCAUUUUUACUAAGCAUUAAAAAAAUAUUAUAUUAUAUAUACAUGUAUUACUUACCUUGUUACCUUUAUUCUUCACUUCUAAUAUUAUAAAUUAAUUACUUUCAGUAAAAUUUGGUAUAAAAUUCCUAUAACACUGUCAUAUGAGUCUCUGUUUUUUUAAAUAGUUUUUCUAUAGUAUUUUAAAUAGCUUUUGAAAAUAAACAAUUUUUAUUACAUUUA